rnacentral:rRNA from 1 species
GACGAACGCUGGCGGCGCGCUUAACACAUGCAAGUCGAGCGAAGCGGCGGACGGGUGAGUAACACGUGAGUAACCUGCCUUAGAAAUUGGGAUAGCCUCGGGAAACCGGGAUUAAUACCAAAUGGUCUAAGAUGGACUCGCGUCCCAUUAGCUAGUGGGUGAGGUAACGGCCCACCAAGGCGACGAUGGGUAGCCGGCAUGAGAGGGUGAACGGUCACAUUGGAACUGAGAAACGGGCCAAACUCUACGGGAGGCAGAAGUGGGGAAUAUUGCACAAUGUAGGGAAGUCUGAUGCAGCGACGCGGCGGGAAAGAAGAAGGCUUUCGAGUCGUAAAGUUCUUUUAUAGGGGAAGCGGUACCAUAAGAAAAAGCCCCGGCUAACUACGGGCCAGCAGCCGCGGUAUUC